GUAACACGUAAACAACCUGCCUUCAGGAUGGGGACAACAGACGGAAACGACUGCUAAUACCGAAUAAGUUCCAAGAGCCGCAUGGCCCAUGGAAGAAAAAGGUGGCCUCUACCUGUAAGCUAUCGCCUGAAGAGGGGUUUGCGUCUGAUUAGCUGGUUGGAGGGGGUAACGGGCCCACCAAGGCGACGAUCAGUAGCCGGUCUGAGAGGAUGAACGGCCACACUGGAACUGAGACACGGUCCAGACUCCUACGGGAGGCAGCAUG
rnacentral:rRNA from 1 species